rnacentral:lncRNA from 1 species
AGGUAUUUAAAGAUCGUCCACAUACAUAUAUACAACCUGUUAGGGUCCUUGUGUGUGCGUGGUGUGUGCUUCUCUAGUAUGGUCAUGUAUUAGUUGACAAAUGAAUAUCCAACAGACAGUGUUCCAGCCUUGUAGGCCUCACCACAAGUCCCUUGGGCCCAUUUAAAUUAUCCGCUUCCUUUCACAGAAUAUACAUUUGUAAGUGGUACUACAACAUAAAGAGAACUAUCCUUGGGCCCAUGCAAAUAUAAGUGCAUACGGAAUCUAUCUGCAGUAGAACAGAAUUCAGUUGUUAUCACCUCAGCCCACCUGGGAUGCAACUGCAAUCAGAAAUAACAAUUCCUUGAGGUGCUUUUCAAGUUGUAGAAUCUGCAUCAGCUAAUCAUGUGAGUCUACUAUAAAAUAAGGAAAAUUCAGCAACAUGGUUAACGAAGCCUAGUUAGAGACUUGAUAACGGAAGAAGCACUUCGAACAAAGUUCAGAGAACCAAAGUAUGUUCAGGAAUUUGUCACUAAUAUAAAGUAACAAUGCAAUGCCAUUUCACAUUCAUAAAUAAAGCAGGCUGGGUCUAGAAUGUGAAGUUCAGGGGGGUGGGUCUAAAUUGUUUAAGACUGCCUACUGUCCAGCUAAAAAUGAAAUAUAAAAUAUGGUGUUUAGCAGGUAUGUUGAUAAAAGAAGACCAAUAAAACAUUAGGCAGGUCUUCUUUUAUCCACGUAAAACUGUUGAGUUCCUUUCUGAAGCAUUAAAAGACCUCAUAUGCGAGUUCCACCAUAAAACAGUGAAAUAUAUCACUUAUUAUAGUGAUUACCUCUUUUCUUCAGUAGUUCUGCGCACCUCUCCCAGGUUGAAUCUCCCACUAAAAUCAUUUUUUACCUUAGCCUUUGUACCUUCCUGGAAAACAGAAAAAGAACAUGAUUACUCAAAAAUAAGUUUACUGCAUUUAAAUAAAAUACUUUCUUGUGAUUCUUUUUCGUGCAUUUGACUAAUCUUCGCUGCCAUCAGGAUGCUAGAGCACCUUCACUUCCCAAACAUAAUAAAGGCUGGCACUGCAAAAAAUCAGGGUGUCUCAAGAAGUACUGUGAAUGCUUUCAAGCAAAUAUUCUUUGCUCCAAGAAUUGUAAAUGUAUGGAUUGCAAGAACUUCAAAGGAAGUGAGGAACUAUAGGCUAUAACUCAAGGGGAUAAUGCAUCUGAUAGAAAUAACGUUCAGCAAACAGCUAAUGUCACUCUGAAUGGUGCCACUGGAUCCUCUGGAUAUAAAUAUUCACCUGUACGUAGAGAAAGACACCCAGAAGACCCCCUUGGUCCUGAGGUAAUUUCAAGUUAGCUAGUUCUGCAACUUCAAGCAAUCUGCCAUUUUAAGUCAGAUCUCGUGUAACACAUCUAUUUUGUUGCUAGUUUCCUUUUAUUUCUGCUUCAGCUAUAAAUCCAGUUGGGUGUACAUCCACUUGAUCACUGUUACUAAUUUUUUUAUCUAACUUCAGCUGUAAAUUUUGAUGAGCUGGUAAUUGUUUCAUGUGCUCUAGGCUAACCACUUGGAUGCUUCACAAGCUGCUUCUUCUAGUGGACUUGAAGGCCGUAUUGGUUGUCAGAGUAGAUCUAAAAUGGUCUAUAGGUAAGUAAAAAAUGGUCUGGUUAAUUUGAAUACUAGAUAGCCACCUCGCAGAAAUAAAUAAAUGAAUAAAACCUUAGAACAAAACUGAUCUAUUCUAAUAUAUGAGGAGCAUGAUACAAGCGCAUGUGUAGAUUAAGAAAAACAUCAAUGACACAAACUACUGUGAGCGAAUGUGCCGAGAGAUUGCUGGCUAUUAGAUCAUAAUCUAUUUACAACAUGUAAACUUAGCAUAUUCACCUCAAAAAAUUCAGGCUAAUAAACUUACCAAGCUAGGAAAGCAAUAGGCAUACCGGGCAGAUAAUCUAUGGAAUACCGAGGCAAGCAAUAGGAUGAACAUGUCUUUGGUGAGGUCUGAAUCUAUACCUAUUUACAGUGUUACUGCAUCAAGUCUGUAAAUCUCGCAAACUUGGCUGCACAAAUAUUAUAAGUGCCAUUAUUUUUUCCUCAGCCAACGUAUGGCAGCAGAUUCACAACUCGAGCGUGCCACUCUUCAAAAUAAGAAUCGCAUCCUACCAUACCUCAGAGCCUGUGGUAAGCAACACCAGCUGGGACGGCGCCAUCGGCUGCUGGUAUCUGUCUUCUUCAGCUGCAAGUAACGGUGAAGCUGACGACGAGCCAGUGUGUGAGGCCACGCCCUGUUCCUUCCCUCUCUGGUCUCGCUUGCCCAUUUCCUUGCCCCUGCUUGGCUUGCUGUCAGAGGUUUAUUCAAAAAAAAAGGAACCACACACACUUGCAUAGAUGAGCAGAAAAAGAGAGGGAUAAAGACCAGGAGCAAAGGGGGGUCAGGACGCAGAGAAGCUCACCUUGGCAUCACCGACAGCGCUGCCACUUCGACCCGGCCGAGG